GGCCAGUGUGGUGUAGUGGUUUGAGUGCUGGACUACAACUGUGGAGUCCAGGGUUCGAAUCCCAGCUCGGCCA